rnacentral:sRNA from 12 species
CGCGCUCCACACAGAUUAAAUUCUGAGCAUGUGGCCGUCACAAGGAUGACGUAACACCAGUAGUUAUGGACUAGGGAUAGCCGGUAACUAUAUAGGUGU